AUUUUUCCCCAAUCUGAAGUUCUGCCAGCUGCAGCAUCUAAUCAUCCCUGGCUGUGCCUGUUAAGUAUUUAAAGGCAUUUCUGAUGCUAGCUGCAUCUGCCCAUAGUACCAGCAACAUGCACUGCCUCAACCAUGAUCACUAUACAGGCCCAGCCUGUCCUUGCAAGGAUGUUGGGUGGAUCAGGAUGUUGAGUGCCCACAGCUUUAGAGGAGAAAAGCCUGGAUGCCUGGAGUCUCAAUGAUGCAGAAAAACUGGAUGGAAUCUCACUGGAAGAGCAUCCUGAAGUUGUGAAAAAAUGGAGAGUGGAGCGGAGAACAGAUCCUUCUGAUGGAAGCCAGCCAGAGGAGCCUUUU
rnacentral:lncRNA from 1 species